rfam:Asian citrus Psyllid, Diaphorina citri - Florida Strain, whole genome shotgun sequence.
GCCAGUGGCAAUAGCCCGUUCAAUACUCCAGCUCCCAAUGGAUCACUGUAGUUAAGAGAUGUUGCGCGUGGUUGGUAUCCGGUUGGGUGACCAUCUGGGCAAUCGCAUGCUGCUGGCU